AACUAGGUAUUCACCGAUAUCUGCAAAGCUGCACCAGGCACGUUCUGAAAACUUUGCAACAAGAAGCCAAAAUCCGUACACUGGUUCUGCUUGUUCAUUUUUUCCCGGCAAUGAGAAAGACAGAGAAAAGACAGGGGACAGUGAAAUAAAAGAAUCCUAAUUUAUUGCCAUGGAUCAGCAAAAAUAUCCAGGAAGUCUGUUAGAUAGUGUCACAGAGGGUUUCUCAGGAAGAAUUUGCACAGUUUCAAUGGAAUGCAAGAGCCAAUAGAUUAUCCAAAACAA